rnacentral:rRNA from 1 species
UACAGAGGUCUCAAGCGUUGUUCGGAUUCAUUGGGCGUAAAGGGUGCGUAGGUGGCGCCGUAAGUCAGGUGUGAAAUCUCGGAGCUCAACUCCGAAACUGCACUUGAUACUGCGGUGCUUGAGGACUGGAGAGGAGACUGGAAUUUACGGUGUAGCAGUGAAAUGCGUAGAGAUCGUAAGGAAGACCAGUGGCGAAGGCGGGUCUCUGGACAGUUCCUGACACUGAGGCACGAAGGCCAGGGGAGCAAACGGGG